rnacentral:rRNA from 1 species
UACGUAGGUCCCGAGCGUUGUCCGGAUUUAUUGGGCGUAAAGCGAGCGCAGGUGGUUUAUUAAGUCUGGUGUAAAAGGCAGUGGCUCAACCAUUGUAUGCAUUGGAAACUGGUAGACUUGAGUGCAGGAGAGGAGAGUGGAAUUCCAUGUGUGGCGGUGAAAUGCGUAGAUAUAUGGAGGAACACCGGUGGCGAAGGCGGCUCUCUGGCCUGUAACUGACACUGAGGCUCGAAAGCGUGGGGAGCAAACAGG